rnacentral:rRNA from 1 species
GAUCAUGGCUCAGGACGAACGCUGGCGGCGCGCCUAACACAUGCAAGUCGAACGGAGCUGAGAAGAGCUUGCUUUUCUCAGCUUAGUGGCGAACGGGUGAGUAACGCGUGAGUAACCUGCCCUGGAGUGGGGGACAACAGUUGGAAACGACUGCUAAUACCGCAUAAGCCCACGGCCCGGCAUCGGGCUGAGGGAAAAGGAUUUAUUCGCUUCAGGAUGGACUCGCGUCCAAUUAGCUAGUUGG